GAUGAACGCUGGCGGCGUGCCUAAUACAUGCAAGUCGAGCGAAGCGGGGACGGGUGAGUAACACGUGGAUAACCUCCUAUAAGACUGGGAUAACUUCGGGAAACCGGAGCUAAACCGGAUACGUAUAGAUGGAUCCGCGCUGAAUUAGCUAGUUGGGAAGGUAACGGCUUACAAAGGCACCGAUGCAGAGCCGACCUGAGAGGUGGAUCGGCCACACGGGAACUGAGACCCGGUCCAGACUCUUACGGGAGGCAGCAGUAGGGAAUCUUCCGCAAUGGGCGAAAGCCUGACAGAGCAACGCCGCGUGAGUGAUGAAGGUCUUCGGAUCGUAAAACUCUGUUAUUAGGGAAGCGGUACCUAAUCAGAAAGCCACGGCUAACUACGUGCCAGCAGCCGCGGUAAUUC
rnacentral:rRNA from 1 species